ensembl:lncRNA
AUACAACCCAACAGGCGGGAGCACUGCAGCCAAACCCUUCCUCCCAAUCUCUCAGAAGGCAUAAAGGCCAGUCAACAACCGCUCACGCACUCAAUGUCAUUUACUGCCGCGGACAACGACUGAAUUCACUUUACUUUCUUUGGACAUUCACUUCACAUUGAAACCAUCUGAACUUGUUGACUGACCAAGAUACAAGGCGACCCCAGUGGAUCAUACGUCUUCACACAUACCUCGACACGUUUGGAUUUUUCAAUGGUUGUCUUCUCAGCCCAUCAGGGAAGAUAGAAAGAGAGAAAGAGAGAGAGCGAGAGAGAGACAGAGGGGACAAUAAAAGCAAAAGGAGCAAGGAUGAGCACAAGCAAGCGUCUCAGGUGGGCAAUCUGCGUUGUGCUGCCUCUGGUGGGCUUCGCCCUGAUCUGCGUGGGGGUCUUCCAGAUGUUCCUGGGUAAAGGGGGGCGCUACGUCCACCUGAGGGUGGUCAUGGCAUACGCCGAGGUGAUGGCCGGCCUCAUUAUCAUGCUCAUUCCGGUCCUCUGGGCCGUCUGCCACAAGAGCAGGGACCUGGGACCAGGAGACAUGCUCGCACCGCGGCCCUCACAGAUCUGCACCGUCGACAGACCCUUCCCUCCGUCCUACGAGGAAUCCCAGAGGAGAUGCAUGGAUCCUCCCUCUAUAGAGAUGGUGGCGGAGGGGGCGCCAGGCUCAACGGAGAUGGUGGUGGAGGCGAAGGGGGUCCCAACAGCGGCAAUGUCCCCUCCUUUGUACACCCAGCACAGUUCUAAUAUCUCAGACUGCACCUGGGAAUUGGAGCAGCCCCCUCCUUACACUGGCCCCGCCCCCACCUCUUGAACACACACACACACACACACACACACACACACACACACACACACACACACACACACACACACACACACACACACACACACACACACACACACACACACACAAACACACACAGAAACAAGCGCACAGGCACCAACACACACAACUCUCGACUCUUCAGGUGUCGGAUGAGCAGGGAUGGCUGCUAAUUCCAGAAUGUUCUGGGCAAUGCAAAGAAAGGACACUGUGAAGUACUUUUUCACUAUUACUUAUUUUGUUAUCGCUUACAUGUUGAAAUACAUGUCAUCAAUACCUAGGCUGUGGACAUUGGUGAUCAACCUUUGGCUAGCACUAUCAACUGGAAAAGGUUUUUGAUGUUGGACUUUGUCCAAGUUGAAAGGCUUGUACUUUGGCUUCAAUUCUGACCUUUUCUUCAAGAAAGUGUUUUGGAUGAAACCGAAGAAGGAAACUUUUUUGCACAUUGCCCUUUCUGUGGUUAAAUUACAAAAAAAGGAUAGCGUUUUGCAGUAAGUUUACCACAUAGAUGAAUGGAUUAGAAUUAAGCACUUCUUAGGUUGAGCAUCAUGCAUAGCAUUUAUAGAGCUGUCCCUCUAUUGAGCUGCAGCUCUAUAGAGAGACUAAAGACAGUAUGUUUACUUGUACAGACACUUCCUUUCUAUAAGACUGUGUCUGUCACAAUGAAUAUUGUUCUGGAUUAUAGUAUUCGUUGUUAUCCAGAACAUGUUCAUCCAUAUACCCUAUAUCACCUAUAGAUUUACAAAUGAAUCCUUUCCAAAGGCGGUGAAUUUUUGAAGAGCUCAGUGCCAUUCUGAAAUAAUUUUGAUACCUUGAGCACGCUUUAGGUCAAGAUUUAUAAAGUAGAACGUUAAUAUGACUGUAAAAAAAUUAUAUAUUUUUAUACAAUCUGUUGUUUGUAUUGAAUUGCACUGGCUGAACCAUGCUUUCCGGACUUUUACAAGUUUCAUUAUCCAACACAUUCAAAAGGAUAUAACAAUGAUCUGACAAAUGUCACAUGGCAAUAAAGGUGAUUGCAUGUCAAUUAUUAAUGGACUCAUCCACCUGGUACACCAAGUAACAACACCUGGUAACAGGUCAGGGAGGGUAUUGUAUACAAUACAUAGUGUAUGUGCCAACUAUCCUAUCAUGAAAUAGUUGAAUAAACAGCAAUGGCCGAACGCGAAUGCUUGGCUGAAUCAAUGAACAUAUACGUCCCUAAAGACUACUAUCUACUGGCAUGUCCUCUUCCACUCAUGGUGGUCACCAGAGAGGUUUACCAUAGUCCUCGUCUCGGUCUUUAAACUGGAAGAUGUUUCCAUUCACAAUACAGCAGUCAGACCAUAAAGAACAAAAUUCAGGACGUUUUACUGUCCUGAAUGAGACUGUGUGAGGGGAGGGGGGGGUGUCAGUGACACGUCCACUAGGACGCUUUGAAAUAACUGAAGACUGAAACACUUCUCUGUGCAGUCAAUGUAUAGUUCAGUGUAGAGCUCACACGCCUUUAAUUUGGAUAAGGAACAACAGAUAAACCAAAGCAAUGG